CAGCAGGCAAAAGCCAGCGCAGAGGCAUUUUGUCACUACACGGCAGUCACUGCUAUGGACAUGGCAACUGACCCUGGCUCCUGACCAAAUAGUGAAUGUUUACUAAAAAGUGGGGAAAAGCCUCAGGGGAUUCCACAUGUGGCCUAAGACUGCCAGUCACAUCCAAACGCCACAGGACGCCAUCACCAUCUAUCCCCAGAGGGCCGGCUAACCUCAAGAAGACAGAUGAGUCGGUCUCCCAUCCUCGGGCUGUGUCUGUCCCAGGAGGACAGGGCAGAUGCACGAGAGGAGGAAGAUGGAAGUCCUCAAGAGAGCUGACCUGGCCUUGAAAGCAGAAACCUGAAUAUUAAGAAUAAAGAGGAGGUGAUGGAUGGGAAAAUAAAAC